UGGGGAAUUUUGCACAAUGGGGGAAACCCUGAUGCAGCGACGCCGCGUGAUUUAGAAGGCCUUCGGGUUGUAAAAAUCUUUUCUAUGGGAAGAAAAUGACAGUACCAUAGGAAUAAGGACCGGCUAAUUACGUGCCAGCAGCCGCGGUAAUACGUAAGGUCCGAGCGUUGUCCGGAAUCAUUGGGCGUAAAGGGUACGUAGGCGGGUAAGCAAGUUAGAAGUGAAAUCCUAUAGCUCAACUAUAGUAAGCUUUUAAAACUGCUCAUCUUGAGGUAUGGAAGGGAAAGUGGAAUUCCUAGUGUAGCGGUGAAAUGCGCAGAUAUUAGGAGGAAUACCGGUGGCGAAGGCGACGUUCUGGCCAUAGCCUGACGCUGAGGUAAGAAAGCGUGGGUAGCAAACAGG
rnacentral:rRNA from 1 species